rnacentral:lncRNA from 1 species
AAGGAAGGCCAGGGAUGGCCGGCAACCUCUAGAAGCUAGGAGAAAGGCAAGGAAAGAUUCUCCCUUAGGGGCUCCAGAGAGAUUGUGGCCCUGCCCACAUCUGGAUUUUGGACUUCUAGGCUUCAUAACUGUGAGAGAAUUUAUUGCUGUUUUGUAAAAGCCAUGCAGUUUGUGGUAAUUUGUUAUGGUAGCCCCACGAAACGAAUACACUAGCCAACCACCAGCGAGUUCCUAAGGUCUGCCAACAGCCAUGUAAAUGAGCUUGCAAGAGGAUCUUCUGAGGCCUGCCAACAGCCGGGCUGAGUGAGCGUGGAAGCGGAUCCUCCCCCAGCCAAGCCUUGAGAGGACUGCAGCCCCAAGUGACACCUUGAUUUCAUUCUUCUGAAGACCUGGAGCCAGACUUGCCUAGCAAAGCCCCUCUGAGAUUUCCGACCCACAAAAACUGGGAGAGGUUCAGCCGGUUGGAUUCCCAUUUCCCACCAUGGCACUCCAGGCUCUUCAGCACUUUCUUCAUUUUUGCAAAUAGAAACUGCUUGUGGAUCAAGAUAUCUCUGGGUGAGUAACGAGUAACUUUAAGAAGUAACUGUCCCUUACCUCAUCUCUCUGGUUUGAUCCCCUGAAAAUGUAAGUUUGACUUGUAUUCUUGGGAAUCCUGGUGGGCUGAGUCCUGAAUCUUGGGCCUGGACCACCAAGAUAAUAAGAGACAGGAUAAAAGGUUCACUCAUGAGUUACUCUUGGUGGUCUAGUUAGCAUUCUGAUCUGUGUUAUAUGUAGAAUUGUGUGUUAAUGUUUGUCUAAACUGAAUUGGCUGUUUGGGUACUGAGUUUCUUGGUGACCGUAACCAAACCUCCUUUAGAAAUUAACUUUAUGAGGGUCUUCUGACUCUGAGGAAAGGGGCGCUGUUCCCUCCAGUCCUUGGGGACAUUCCCAGGUGACUGGAAUUUUAGGGAGGCAUCAGGGCAUCUGCCCAUGAUGUGUAGCAGCCUCAUAGGGACGCCCUUUUGAAGAACCUCUCUUAUCGGGACUUCACGCUUCCUGGUAAAGCAGUUGGCAGUGGCAGCUCGUCCAGUGGCUUACUCGCCUGAACUUUGUUGUGCCAAAAUACAUAAGAGAGACAGGUGACCCCUUGCUUAUUCUUAAGGGAGCUGUUCCCGCAAGCAACACUAUCAGACUCUAAACACUACCCCCUACAAAGACCUUGUUUAUUGUGGCCACCUUGACAAAAGCCCCCUAAAAUGGGAAAUAUAAAUGGUAUACCAAAUUGCAGCCCAUGGGAAUGCAUUCUCCAAAACUGAGCAGUGUUCUGUUAUGAGCCCAUGAAGAAAAAGAGAAUGAUUUCCUUUUGUAAUACGACCUGGCCCCAAUUGGAUUCAGAUGAGAUGUGGCGUGAGAAUGGGUCUCUGAACUAUAAAACCAUCUUGCAGUUAGACCUAUUCUGUGAAAGGGAAGAAAAACGGAAUGAGAUUCCCUUUGGGCAAUCUUUUAUGUUUUUAUACCAAAAUAAGAAUUUGCAAAAGAGAUGUAAGGUUCUGAGUCAAAGGGAGGAUCCACAGAAAAAACCUAUCCUCCUAGAAUCAAAGUCAGAUGAUAUGUCCUUCCUCAUUUGCUAUCCCCUACAGAGCCUCCAUUGUAUGCUGGGGAUGGGAUUGGAGGUGACCAAGGAGGGCAUACUGAUUCUCCUAAAGCCACUGGUUUGACUUUGUACCCCCAUUUACCUAAUAGUCAGACAGGAAUUGUCUCUCUUGCUCAUAUCCAUUGGUGCACUCAAUUUGGCCCAGGGAAGGCUCCAACUCAGGCAGGGCAAUUCUCACUAAGAUAAGCCCCUGCAGGCCUCCAUGACCAAGGCCAGCCUUUUCAACUUUGGACUUAUACAAUUGGAAGAACAAUGCACCUGUUUACCAAGAUGAU